GAUGAACGCUGGCGGCGUGCCUAAUACAUGCAAGUCGAGCGAACGGACGAGAAGCUUGCUUCUCUGAUGUUAGCGGCGGACGUGUGAGUAACACGUGGAAAACCUACCUAUAAGACUGGGAUAACUACGGGAAACCGGAGCUAAUACCGGAUAAUAUUUUGAACCGCAUGGUUCAAAAGUGAAAGACGGUCUUGCUGUCACUUAUAGAUGGAUCCGCGCUGCAUUAGCUAGUUGGUAAGGUAACGGCUUACCAAGGCAACGAUGCAUAGCUGACCUGAGAGGGUGAUCGGCCACACUGGAACUGAGAGACGGUCCAGACUCCUAGGGGAGGCAGCAGUAGGGAAUCUUCCGCAAUAGGCGAAAGCCUGACGGAGCAACGCCGCGUGAGUGAUGAAGGUCUUCGGAUCGUAAAACUCUGUUAUUAGGGAAGAACAUAUGUGUAAGUAACUGUGCACAUCUUGACGGUACCUAAUCAGAAAGCCACGGCUAACUACGUG
rnacentral:rRNA from 1 species